rnacentral:misc_RNA from 1 species
GAUGAAGAACGUAGCGAAAUGCGAUAAGUAAUGUGAAUUGCAGAAUUCAGUGAAUCAUCGAAUCUUUGAACGCACCUUGCGCUCUUUGGUAUUCCGAAGAGCAUGCCUGUUUGAGUGUCAUGAAAAUAUCAACCUUGACUUGGGUUUUGUGCUCUAGUCUCGGCUUGGAAUUGGGUGCUUGCCGCUUUUACGAGCGGCUCACCUUAAAUGUAUUAGCUGGAUCUGUCUUUGAGACUUGGUUUGACUUGGCGUAAUAAGUAUUUCGCUAAGGACAUUCUUCGGAGUGGCCUCGUUUCUAGGACGCUUAUCCGCUUUCCAAUACAAGUUCCACCUCGUGGACAUGACUUUUUAUUAUCUGGCCUCAAAUCAGGUAGGACUACCCGCUGAACUUAAGCAUAUCAAUAAGCGGAGGA